rnacentral:misc_RNA from 1 species
GAUGAAGAACGUAGCGAAAUGUGAUACGUAAUGUGAAUUGCAGAAUUCAGUGAAUCAUCGAAUCUUUGAACGCAUAUUGCGCUCUCUGGUAUUCCGGAGAGCAUGCUUGUUUGAGUAUCAGUAAACACCUCAACUCCCUUUUCUUUUUUGAAAUGGGAGCUGGACUUGAGUGAUCCCAACGCUUUUCUCACCGGAAAGUGGCGGGUUACUUGAAAUGCAGGUGCAGCUGGACUUUUCUCUGAGCUAUAAGCAUAUCUAUUUAGUCUGCCUAAAAACAGAUUAUUACCUUUGCUGCAGCUAACAUAAAGGAGAUUAGUUCUUGUGCUGACUGAUGCAGGAUUCACAGAGACAGCUUCGGCUGACUUUGUAAACUCGAUCUCAAAUCAAGUAAGACUACCCGCUGAACUUAAGCAUAUCAAUAAGCGGAGGA